GGGCCCAUUCAGAAUAAGUAGAAAAACCAAGAAAAAUAAUAAAUAAAAUUCAGUCCAAAAACAGUCCAUUUACAAUUGUCCUAGAUCAAUUUACCAAAAAAAAUACAGACUCUAACCCCAAAAUAUACCAAGACCCAAAAUACAAACAGUCCAUUUAUAAAUGGCCCAAUACAAACCCAAACUCUAUCUUAAACACCUAAUGGCCCAACUCAGCCCAAACCCCAACCUAAUGGUUGAAACCCUAGCAGCGAGCAAGCCCCAGCGCCGCAAUAGCCCCAACUCCUCCGC
rnacentral:lncRNA from 1 species